GACGAACGCUGGCGGCGUGCUUAACACAUGCAAGUCGAACGAUGAAGCUGGAGCUUGCUCCGGUGGAUUAGUGGCGAACGGGUGAGUAACACGUGAGCAAUCUGCCCUUGACUCUGGGAUAACUGCGGGACACUGUAGCUAAUACCGGAUAUGAGGCUUGGAGGCAUCUCCAGGUAUGGAAAGAAUUUCGGUCAAGGAUGAGCUCGCGGCCUAUCAGCUAGUUGGUGAGGUAAUGGCUCACCAAGGCGACGACGGGUAGCCGGCCUGAGAGGGUGACCGGCCACACUGGGACUGAGACACGGCCCAGACUCCUACGGGAGGCAGCAGUGGGGAAUAUUGCACAAUGGGCGAAAGCCUGAUGCAGCAACGCCGCGUGAGGGAUGAAGGCCUUCGGGUUGUAAACCUCUUUUAGCAGGGAAGAAGCGAAAGUGACGGUACCUGCAGAAAAAGCACCGGCUAACUACGUGCCAGCAGCCGCCGUAA
rnacentral:rRNA from 1 species